AUUGAACGCUGGCGGCAUGCCUUACACAUGCAAGUCGAACGGUAACAGGUCCUCGGGUGCUGACGAGUGGCGAACGGGUGAGUAAUACAUCGGAACGUGCCUAGUAGUGGGGGAUAACUACUCGAAAGAGUGGCUAAUACCGCAUGAGAUCUACGGAUGAAAGCAGGGGAUCGCAAGACCUUGUGCUACUAGAGCGGCCGAUGGCAGAUUAGGUAGUUGGUGGGAUAAAAGCUUACCAAGCCAACGAUCUGUAGCUGGUCUGAGAGGACGAUCAGCCACACUGGGACUGAGACACGGCCCAGACUCCUACGGGAGGCAGCAGUGGGGAAUUUUGGACAAUGGGCGCAAGCCUGAUCCAGCAAUGCCGCGUGCAGGAUGAAGGCCUUCGGGUUGUAAACUGCUUUUGUACGGAACGAAAAGCCCCGGGUUAAUACCCUGGGGUCAUGACGGUACCGUAAGAAUAAGCACCGGCUAACUACGUGCCAGCAGCCGCCGCCG
rnacentral:rRNA from 1 species